UACGUAGGGCGCAAGCGUUGUCCGGAAUUACUGGGCGUAAAGCGUGCGCAGGCGGUUUUGUAAGCCAGAUGUGAAAUCCCCGGGCUUAACCUGGGAAUGGCAUUUGGGACUGCAAGGCUCGAGUGCGGCAGAGGAGACUGGAAUUCCUGGUGUAGCGGUGAAAUGCGCAGAUAUCAGGAGGAACACCGGUGGCGAAGGCGGGUCUCUGGGCCGAUACUGACGCUGAGGAGCGAAAGCGUGGGGAGCGAACAGG
rnacentral:rRNA from 1 species